ensembl:lncRNA novel transcript
CACUUCAGGUGAGAUGGAAGGUUGAACUCUACCUCACCUCCUGGCUACAGAGUGCGGUGGCGCCAGCACAGAGCUCUGCUCAACGUCCCUCUGUGCUUUCACGAUGCUGAUGGAUUAUGAAG